AGGCUACUUGGUCACAGAACGAUACAUUAUUGAAAGAAGGAGUGGCUGGGAGAACACCACUCCUCAGAUGCCUUUUUGAAAGGUCCUCUGGUGCCAGCAGGGCAGAGAAGGUGAUGGAAUGAUGUGCAACAGAGCCAGUGGCCGUAAGAAAAUCCGGUCAGUUCCGGUUGAGUAGAAGCAACAGGAACUCAAGAGACGUUUAGCGCAGGCUCAAGACUCAGGGCAGGAGCUCCUCACGAAUGGUUUGAACCUGAAAGGUUUGCCAGAGCUCCAGUGUUGAAGGCUUAGCCCAAAGGCACAGAGAUGGGACUUCAGGGCGGUGCCUGAUUCACAAGGGCUCCAACUUUUGGAACAGAUUCAUCCACAAGUGGAUUCACAGCUUGAUGGGCUAUUGGGAGAGAAAAACUUGAGGAGGAGGGGAAAGAAGUAUGUCACUUUUUGACAGGGUGUGAUUUGCUGUGGCCUCUUCCUCUUCCUCACUUUUGACUUCCAGGCUGUCAGGAGGUGAGAGCCGCCUUGUGCCAUCUCCAUUCAGCUCCAAGAAGGUAACUUCAGGAGCUCUACCAGGCCAUGAGCUCUAGGAGGCCAGGGGUUGUGUCUGCCAGCGAUCAAGGGAGACCAGAGGACAGCAGCACCAGACAAGAAAUCCACGUCACAAUGAGGAAGCUGACUACAUUUCAUUCACAUGUUUCUAAGCCGGGAGGCGCCUUGGCUCAGCAGCAUGCUUUACAGCGUGUGUCUGCACUGAAAGACAAAUUUUGUAAGAUGAAGGAGAAGGAGAAAGACCAUUUUCAGCCUGGAAAAGUCAUGACAAAGCUCCAGAGUGAACUAUACAUCUAGAGCCACAGAAGGAGCAAUUAUGGGCAAGAAGGCAAAUGCCUGGAAAAGACGUUAUCUCCUGGCAAGCACAAAGUUAAACAGAAUCUUAGAGACAACUGGAAAUUUCUAAGUCGCCUGGGUGGACGGCUUGAGAAGGAAUCUUUGGUUGAAAAUGCAUGUUGAGUCUCUACUGUGUCUUGUAGGAUACUGCUAUACAACUUACAUUUAUAAUUUAGCUAUGUUUACUUUGUCUGCUGGUCAUACAAACAAUAACGAAUGACAAGAGUAGAUACCGGCUGGGAGAAGGCCCAUGGCUAAAGCGGUCGGAGCAUCACUUACCAGUCAAGUUGCUUGUGAUAACAUAAGGCCCAUGUUCUACAAAGAGUCCAAACAUGGAUGAACCUCCAGGCCCGCCCUGAAGCCAGAGGACUAC